rnacentral:rRNA from 1 species
AUUGAACGCUGGCGGCAUGCCUUACACAUGCAAGUCGAACGGCAGCACGGGAGCAAUCCUGGUGGCGAGUGGCGAACGGGUGAGUAAUAUAUCGGAACGUGCCCAGUAGUGGGGGAUAGCCCGGCGAAAGCCGGAUUAAUACCGCAUGAGACCUGAGGGUGAAGGCGGGGGAUCGCAAGACCUCGCGCUACUGGAGCGGCCGAUAUCAGAUUAGCUAGUUGGUGGGGUAAAGGCCUACCAAGGCAACGAUCGUGUAGUUGGUCUGAGAGGACGACCAGCCACACUGGGACUGAGACACGGCCCAGACUCCUACGGGAGGCAGCAGUGGGGAAUUUUGGACAAUGGGCGCAAGCCUGAUCCAGCAAUGCCGCGUGCAGGAAGAAGGCCU